rnacentral:lncRNA from 1 species
UUCUUUCUAGAAACACUGAAUCUCCUGGGAAAAUUAAAAGAACACAAUCUCCUAGAAUUCUGUGACCAUGGAAACAGAAGACUAUAGAGCCCUCUCAUCAGAUGAAAAAUCCAGUUGCCCACUGAUGUCAUAAAGGACACUUAUAAUACCAAAUACACUUAUUCAAAAGAUAAAGUUAGGGACUACAAAUUAACCAUUGGAGUUUGCAGGAACAAACCCUCAAAAGACUUCCUAAAAUGUAAGCUUUCUUAAGGAGCUAAACUACAGCCCUUGAGAUAUGAACCUAUCAAUUUCCACUACCAACAUCAUACUGGUCAGCUCUCUCACCACUGAUCAGCUAUGUCCCCUCAACCAUCACUAUUUUCAAAGAUGGAACACCAUGGAACAAAAUAAGAACAGGAGUUAUGGUAGCAUUUCAGAUGGAAUCAUUUAUUUCUCCAGGAUGUCUUAGUUUUGUGUUGUUAUAACAGAAUGCCAUAAACUGGGUAAUUUAUAAAGAACAGAGUUUUCUUUCUUACAGUUCUGGAGGCCAGGAUGUCCAAGAAUGAGGGCCCAUAUCUGGCAAGGGCUUUCUUGCUGUAUAACAUCGAAGCCAGAAUUAGACAGGCAGUCAGUACAGAUAAGUAAAUAGAGUCAGGUCAGAUUGAGUCAUGCCAUUUUGAGUGAGUAGAGUCAGGUCAGAUUGAAUCAAACCAAUUUUGAGUGAGUCUCGGGAAAUGCAGACUAUCCCCGGUGGGAUUAAAUUGUUAAUUCCUUCAGAGCCCUUUCUCCACCCUUAUCAAGAACAUGCCCCUGCCCCAACCUGUUGUUAAGGUAACCUGUCCAAGGAAUUGCCCCUCCUUACAGGAAACUAUAAGGUUAUUAAUUAAUGUGUCCUGGGCUGCACCAUCCUGCCCUUCCCCCCUUCAGCCCACUUG